rnacentral:rRNA from 1 species
CAUGCAAGUCGAGCGAAUCUGAGGGAGCUUGCUCCCAAAGAUUAGCGGCGGACGGGUGAGUAACACGUGGGCAACCUGCCUGUAAGACUGGGAUAACUUCGGGAAACCGGAGCUAAUACCGGAUAAUCCUUUUCUACUCAUGUGGAAAAGCUGAAAGAUGGCUUCGGCUAUCACUUACAGAUGGGCCCGCGGCGCAUUAGCUAGUUGGUGAGGUAACGGCUCACCAAGGCGACGAUGCGUAGCCGACCUGAGAGGGUGAUCGGCCACACUGGGACUGAGACACGGCCCAGACUCCUACGGGAGGCAGCAGUAGGGAAUCUUCCGCAAUGGACGAAAGUCUGACGGAGCAACGCCGCGUGAGUGAUGAAGGUUUUCGGAUCGUAAAACUCUGUUGUUAGGGAAGAACAAGUACCGUUCGAAUAGGGCGGUACCUUGACGGUACCUAACCAGAAAGCCACGGCUAACUACGUGCCAGCAGCCGCGGUAAUACGUAGGUGGCAAGCGUUGUCCGGAAUUAUUGGGCGUAAAGCGCGCGCAGGUGGUUUCUUAAGUCUGAUGUGAAAGCCCCCGGCUCAACCGGGGAGGGUCAUUGGAAACUGGGAGACUUGAGUGCAGAAGAGGAAAGUGGAAUUCCAAGUGUAGCGGUGAAAUGCGUAGAGAUUUGGAGGAACACCAGUGGCGAAGGCGACUUUCUGGUCUGUAACUGACACUGAGGCGCGAAAGCGUGGGGAGCGAACAGGAUUAGAUACCCUGGUAGUCCACGCCGUAAACGAUGAGUGCUAAGUGUUAGAGGGUUUCCGCCCUUUAGUGCUGCAGCAAACGCAUUAAGCACUCCGCCUGGGGAGUACGGCCGCAAGGCUGAAACUCAAAGGAAUUGACGGGGGCCCGCACAAGCGGUGGAGCAUGUGGUUUAAUUCGAAGCAACGCGAAGAACCUUACCAGGUCUUGACAUCCUCUGACAAUCCUAGAGAUAGGACGUUCCCCUUCGGGGGACAGAGUGACAGGUGGUGCAUGGUUGUCGUCAGCUCGUGUCGUGAGAUGUUGGGUUAAGUCCCGCAACGAGCGCAACCCUUGAUCUUAGUUGCCAGCAUUCAGUUGGGCACUCUAAGGUGACUGCCGGUGACAAACCGGAGGAAGGUGGGGAUGACGUCAAAUCAUCAUGCCCCUUAUGACCUGGGCUACACACGUGCUACAAUGGAUGGUACAAAGGGCUGCAAGACCGCGAGGUUUAGCCAAUCCCAUAAAACCAUUCUCAGUUCGGAUUGCAGGCUGCAACUCGCCUGCAUGAAGCCGGAAUCGCUAGUAAUCGCGGAUCAGCAUGCCGCGGUGAAUACGUUCCCGGGCCUUGUACACACCGCCCGUCACACCACGAGAGUUUGUAACACCCGAAGUCGGUGGGGUAACCGCAAGGAGCCAGCCGCCUAAGGUGGGACAGAUGAUU